rnacentral:rRNA from 1 species
UAGAGGCCUACCAUGGUGGUAACGGGUAACGGGGUGUUAGGGCACGACACCGGAGAGGGAGCCUGAGAAACGGCUACCACAUCCAAGGAUGGCAGCAGGCGCGCAAAUUACCCAAUCCCGACACGGGGAGGUAGUGACAAUAAAUAACAAUACGGGGUUCUUUCGGAUCUCGUAAUUGGAAUGAGUACAAUUUAAAUCUCUUAACGAGGAACAAUUGGAGGGCAAGUCUGGUGCCAGCAGCCGCGGUAAUUCCAGCUCCAAUAGCGUAUAUUAAAGUUGUUGCAGUUAAAAAGCUCGUAGUUGAAUUUCGGGGUUAGUAGGUUGGUCAUGCCUCUGGUAUGUACUGGUCUCACUGAUUCCUCCUUCCUUAUGAACCGUAAUGCCAUUAAUUUGGUGUUGCGGGGAAUUUGGACUGUUACUUUGAAAAAAUUAGAGUGUUUAAAGCAAGCUAACGCUUGAAUACAUUAGCAUGGAAUAAUGAAAUAGGACGUUCGAUCUUAUUUUGUUGGUUUCUAGGAUUGACGUAAUGAUUAAUAGGGAUAGUUGGGGGCAUUAGUAUUCAAUUGUCAGAGGUGAAAUUCUUGGAUUUAUUGAAGACUAACUACUGCGAAAGCAUUUGCCAAGGAUGUUUUCAUUAAUCAAGAACGAAAGUUAGGGGAUCGAAGACGAUCAGAUACCGUCGUAGUCUUAACCAUAAACUAUGCCGACUAGGGAUCGGAUGA